GCUCCAUAUUUGCUUUUUUAUAUAUUUAUUUUAUUGCCUGCGAACAUAGUAUGAUAUUACCCUUUUUGUGUAUUGCCCCACAAAGGGGGCGCCAGGCCUACUGUCAUGCAGAAACAUCUAUGAUUUGUUUUCUUUCCUUCUAGGCGUGUUGCUCGAUAUAUGUAUGUAUAUGUAUGAGCAGCCCAGCGGGUGGAAUAUCGCAAUCUGAUCUGCCAAUGUGAUGCUAUGUCAGGUCUCGGCCAAGAAAAGCCUCCAUUGAUGACGAAAUGCCGC
rnacentral:sRNA from 2 species